rnacentral:rRNA from 1 species
CCUACGGGAGGCAGCAGUGGGGAAUCUUGCGCAAUGGGCGAAAGCCUGACGCAGCAACGCCGCGUGCGGGAAGAAGGCUUUCGGGCUGUAAACCGCUUUCAGCAGGAACGAAAAUGACGGUACCUGCAGAAGAAGGAGCGGCCAACUAUGUGCCAGCAGCCGCGGUGAUACAUAGGCUUCAAGCGUUGUCCGGAUUUAUUGGGCGUAAAGAGUUCGUAGGCGGCCGAGUAAGUCGGGUGUGAAAAUUCUGGGCUCAACCCAGAGACGCCACCCGAUACUGCUUAACUUGAGUUCGAUAGGGGAGUGGGGAAUUCCUAGUGUAGCGGUGAAAUGCGCAGAUAUUAGGAGGAACACCGGUGGCGAAGGCGCCACUCUGGAUCGAUACUGACGCUGAGGAACGAAAGCAUGGGUAGCAAACAGGAUUAGAUACCCUGGUAGUCCAUGCCGUAAACGGUGGGCACUAGGUGUGGGAUUCUAUUAACGAAUUCCGCGCCGUCGCUAACGCAUUAAGUGCCCCGCCUGGGGAGUACGGUCGCAAGACUAAAACUUAAAUGAAUUGACGG